rnacentral:lncRNA from 1 species
GCAGGUACAAGCUUGGAGUAGACACCGACAGGCCGGGCUUCCUCCAAUCUACACCUCCACUCUAUCUCUCUCAAUCUAGUAGAAACUAGAAGAUCUAUUUCUACCUUACAUUGGUUGCUAAGCCUAAAAAGAAAUAUUAAUUAGAGAAGAGGUUUUCCUUCGAGGGCACCCCUCAGUCUCUAUGAUAAUUUCUUCAUGUCUUCUCCAGGGUCCAGGGGGUCUCCUUAUAUAGUCCUCCCCUUCUAUGCGUUUUUGGGUCGGUAGACGAGGUGGUACUAUGUUUUCCUUGAUCUAAUAGGUCGGUGGAAUAUCCCGUGCGAAGAGAGUCCUGAAAGCACUCCAGCAGGGGGCGGGCGCCCAGGUCACCAGGGCAGGCGCCCAGGUCACCAGGGCAGGCGCCCUGGGCCUGGCCCCUUUCGGCCUCCGUCUUCUUCCCGUGGCUUCUGGAGUCUUCUAGAUGGUAGAAAAUCGUGCGGUGCGUUGAUAUCUCUAUGUAAUCCUGACAUGUGGGCCUUUCUUCCUUAUUUCCUGAUAACCCCCUGCAGAAAUAGAUAAACAACAAAACUCGUGGAAUUCUGUCAGAUCAAACCCUAAUUCUAAGUGUUGGUUGCAUAUUGGUCCUUUCCCUUGUUUAUUUGAUAAUUAAAAUUGAUACUUAAGAACCGUCAACAAAUACCCCCAUACUUAGGCUUUUACUCGUCCUCGAGAAAAGGAUGGUUGAGAACAAUAUCUGGGGUAAACAUUUAAAACAUUCUCUUUAUAAUUGCAGGGUGUUAAAAAUCCACUGUGUACCAUAGUCAGGGAUGUUUAUGGUUAAGAGUAAAGAUCCUUUCUUCUCAAUCCUGUCACUUGGAGUUUUUAGUAUAUUUUUGAAAGAAAGUUAGCAUACCUUUUUAUCCUCAUAGGCUCUCUUAGAUCACUCAUUAUCUUUUAUAUAUAUAUAUAUAUAUAUAUAUCUCACUGAGGUUGUUUUAAUUUGCAAAAAAUUCUCAAGCAUACUUACUUUGCAUUUAUUGCCUGAUCAAAACUGGAUCCGAGGAGGGAAAUGUCAUACUCUUAGAUCAAAGACUUUGGAAAUUAAAAUCUUUGUCAACUCUUGCUGGCAUAUUGCUUAUUAGAGGGACCAUGGGCUAUCAUUUUUUUUUCUCUCUUUUUUUAAAGUGGAUACCGAGGUAUCCCUAAUUCUACUGCCGGACACUUGUCCAUUUUUUCUGCGAGGUUGUCGAGCACUUGCUCCUUUUUUAUUUCCUCGAAAUAUCUCUAUUUUUGCAUAGCCCAUGCCUCUAAUGCAAUAAUACUUCGGAAGAGUGAAUCUUUCUAAAAUAAUGUCUUGAUCUUAGGAGCAUGAUAAAUCUCUCAACAAGGGUCUAAUUCAUUUUGAACAAACUCAAUACAGAGUAGAUAGCUUUUAUAGUCAUAAUUAAUAUUUUCAGUUUUAUCAGGCAUAUAAAACACUGAGGAUGGUAGCUAGAAUUUUGAAUAUUUUGAAAUAAAUUCUCCAAGCAAUAAUGAUAUCAAGAAUAAGAAACUCAUACUCUACCAUCACAUAUUCCAUAAUGACUAAAGUAACACAGGGUUUUAAAAUGAUUUUAUAAUAAUUGCAAGUUUUCAGGAAAUAUCACAGAUUGAGAUUAAUCAUGAUUAGAAAUAUCUUAAUCUUUUUAAUUUAUCAUGUCGAAAACAGUAAUCUGCAUAAUCAAGAUAGUUGUAUGUGUAAAGUAAAGUGUGCAGAGUGUGUACCUGAAUUGUAGAGUGGUGUGGUCGGGGUGUGUUUAGCAUGUCGAGGGAUCUCCCCCAUACUUGUUUUCUGCUUUCUUGCACAAAAAAUAAAGUAGAGACACACAAGACAUAAUAAUAAUAAUACUCUUUAUUAAUCUUGAGGCAUUUAUUACAAAAGACUAGUAGCAAACUGAUAGCAAACUAAUGAUAAUAGUAAACUGAUGAUAAUAGCAAACCUAAACCGAAUUUAAAGAUAAAUGUCUAAGAUGUAUUGCCUCAAGGUCUAAUCUAGAUAACUUAGCGGCGCUCUAAUUCCUUGAUCUUCUUGUUGGCACUGGCAAGAUCCUGCCUAAGACCUAGUAUAACGGUGUUGUGGUUAGAGAGCUGCCUAGUGAGGGAAUUAAUCGAGGACUUGAGGUCUAUGAUAAUUCUGUCUAGUCUGCGAACGUCCUCAUCAAUAUCCAUUAUAGUCUUGCGACGCUUGGGAGGUGUCUCAAAAGCAUUGAGAGCGUGCUUCGGGGCUGCCUUUGGAGGGAUGAAACGGACUUUGGCUGCUCUAAUCCCUUCAAAGUAAGGCCUUUCCUCCACCGUAGUGUAGCGAAUACUGCUUAUCUCGCCGCUCCGGUUGGUCUUGACUCCAACGACCCUCUCGUUGGGUCUAGGUGGAAGGAUCCUUGUGCCGAUUGGCACCUUGAUAGUGGUCUUCGUCUUGGAUGAUGAUCCUUUGAGGAGUAGGGGUUGUGGCGGUGCGGUGAGAACUGGUUGAGCAUGGUAAGAUUGGGCUUAGCUGCGUUGGCGUAAUGGCAUGGCUUCUAGCUGUCGUUCUGUGUUGGUCGGGACGAGAGCACGGGCAUCGGGGUCUUCCACAGGCUCCAUGUUGAGGUUGAAGGGGACGACUUCCCAAUCAUCGUGGUACUUCUCGGCCAUAGGAGCAGCAAGGAACUAAUCAAGCUCUAAUUGAAGGAGAGAAGGCUUGGUGGCUUGGUGUUUGAAAACUG